GACGAACGCUGGCGGCGUGCCUAAUACAUGCAAGUUGAGCGCUGAAGGUUGGUACUUGUACCGACUGGAUGAGCAGCGAACGGGUGAGUAACGCGUGGGGAAUCUGCCUUUGAGCGGGGGACAACAUUCGGAAACGAAUGCUAAUACCGCAUAAAAACUUUAAACUCAAGUUUUAAGUUUGAAAGAUGCAAUUGCAUCACUCAAAGAUGAUCCCGCGUUGUAUUAGCUAGUUGGUGAGGUAAAGGCUCACCAAGGCGAUGAUACAUAGCCGACCUGAGAGGGUGAUCGGCCACAUUGGGACUGAGACACGGCCCAAACUCCUACGGGAGGCAGCAGUAGGGAAUCUUCGGCAAUGGACGAAAGUCUGACCGAGCAACGCCGCGUGAGUGAAGAAGGUUUUCGGAUCGUAAAACUCUGUUGGUAGAGAAGAACGUUGGUGAGAGUGGAAAGCUCAUCAAGUGACGGUAUCUAACCAGAAAGGGACGGCUAACUACGUGCCAGCCGCCGCCGUAA
rnacentral:rRNA from 1 species